rnacentral:rRNA from 1 species
ACGAACGCUGGCGGCGUGCUUCACGCAUGCAAGUCGCACGGAAAGGCCCUGCUUUUGUGGGGUGCUCGAGUGGCGAACGGGUGAGUAACACGUGAGUAACCUGCCCUUGACUUUGGGAUAACUUCAGGAAACUGGGGCUAAUACCGGAUAGGAGCUCCUGCUGCAUGGUGGGGGUUGGAAAGUUUCGGCGGUUGGGGAUGGACUCGCGGCUUAUCAGCUUGUUGGUGGGGUAGUGGCUUACCAAGGCUUUGACGGGUAGCCGGCCUGAGAGGGUGACCGGCCACAUUGGGACUGAGAUACGGCCCAGACUCCUACGGGAGGCAGCAGUGGGGAAUAUUGCACAAUGGGCGGAAGCCUGAUGCAGCAACGCCGCGUGCGGGAUGACGGCCUUCGGGUUGUAAACCGCUUUCGCCUGUGACGAAGCGUGAGUGACGGUAAUGGGUAAAGAAGCACCGGCUAACUACGUG